UUCUAUUUUGAGGACAGCUGUCUCCUUUCCCCAGUAAGGAGGGAAGCCAAAGGUGGCUAAGGCUCUCUGAGGAGGAGUUGGACAUAGGUGGCUAAGGCUCUCUGAGGAGGAGUUGGGCAUAGGUGGCUAAGGCUCUCUGAGGAGGAGUUGGGCAUAGGUGGCUAAGGCUCUCUGAGGAGGAGUUGGACAUAGGUGGCUAAGGCUCUCUGAGGAGGAGUUGGGCAUACAUGACUAAGGCUCUCUGAGGAGGAGCUGGACAUAGGUGGCUAAGGCUCUCUGGGGAGGAGUUGGACAUACAUGACUAAGGCUCUCUGAGGAGGAGCUGGACAUAGGUGGCUAAGGCUCUCUGAGGAGGAGUUGGACAUAGGUGGCUAAGGCUCUCUGGGGAGGAGUUGGACAUAGGUGGCUAAGGCUCUCUGAGGAGGAGUUGGACAUAGGUGGCUAAGGCUCUCUGAGGAGGAGUUGGACAUAGGUGGCUAAGGCUCUCUGAGGAGGAGUUGGACAUAGGUGGCUAAGGCUCUCUGGGGGAGGAGUUGGACAUAGGUGGCUAAGGCUCUCUGAGG